GACGAACGCGGCGGCGUGCCUAAUACAUGCAAGUGGGACGCAAGGAAACACACUGUGCUUGCACACCGUGUUUUCUUGAGUCGCGAACGGGUGAGUAACGCGUAGGUAACCUGCCUUUAGCGGGGGAUAACUAUUGGAAACGAUAGCUAAUACCGCAUAAUAUUAAUUAUUGCAUGAUAAUUGAUUGAAAGAUGCAAGCGCAUCACUAGUAGAUGGACCUGCGUUGUAUUAGCUAGUUGGUAAGGUAAGAGCUUACCAAGGCGACGAUACAUAGCCGACCUGAGAGGGUGAUCGGCCACACUGGGACUGAGACACGGCCCAGACUCCUACGGGAGGCAGCAGUAGGGAAUCUUCGGCAAUGGACGAAAGUCUGACCGAGCAACGCCGCGUGAGUGAAGAAGGUUUUCGGAUCGUAAAGCUCUGUUGUAAGUCAAGAACGUGUGUGAGAGUGGAAAGUUCACACAGUGACGGUAGCUACCAGAAAAG
rnacentral:rRNA from 1 species